UGGAUUAGGCAUGCAAGUGGGACGCCCCGCAAGGGGAGUCGCGAAAGGGUGAGUAACACGUGAACAAUCUGCCCCGAAGUUGGGAACAACCUUUGGAAACGAAGGCUAAUACCUGAUGUGGAUGCGGCCGGGAUUCCGGUUGUAUAGAAAGGCGCAAGUCGCUUCGGGAUGAGUUCGCGGCCCAUAAGCUUGUUGGUGAGGUAACGGCUCACCAAGGCAAUGACGGGUAGGUGGUCUGAGAGGAUGGUCACCCACACUGGUACUGAGACACUGACCAGACUCCUGCGGGAGGCUGCAGUCGAGAAUCUUCCGCAAUGCGCGAAAGCGUGACGGAGCAAUGCCGCGUGAAGGAUGACGGUCUUCGGAUUGUAAACUUCUGUCGGGGGGGACGAACAAUGACGGUACCCCCAAAGGAAGCCACGGCUAACUACGUGCCAGCAGCCGCGGUAAUACGUAGGUGGCGAGCGUUACUCGGAGUUACUGGGCGUAAAGGGUCCGUAGGUGGCCGUCUAAGUCUGAGGUGAAAGCCUGCAGCUCAACUGCAGAACUGCCUUGGAAACUGGAUGGCUAGAGUGCAGGAGAGGUAAGUGGAAUUUGUGGUGUAGCGGUGGAAUGCGUGGAUAUCACAAGGAACACCAGAGGCGAAAGCGGCUUACUGGACUGCAACUGACACUGAGGGACGAAAGCCAGGGGAGCAAAAAGGAUUAGAUACCCUUGUAGUCCUGGCUAUAAACGUUGUGCGCUCGUCGUCGGGGUGGUUAGUCGC
rnacentral:rRNA from 1 species